rnacentral:rRNA from 1 species
GACGAACGCUGGCGGCGUGCUUAACACAUGCAAGUCGAACGGAAAGGCCCUGCUUUUGUGGGGUGCUCGAGUGGCGAACGGGUGAGUAACACGUGAGUAACCUGCCCUUGACUUUGGGAUAACUUCAGGAAACUGGGGCUAAUACCGGAUAGGAGCUCCUGCUGCAUGGUGGGGGUUGGAAAGUUUCGGCGGUUGGGGAUGGACUCGCGGCUGAUCAGCUUGUUGGUGGGGUAGUGGCUUACCAAGGCUUUGACGGGUAGCCGGCCUGAGAGGGUGACCGGCCACAUUGGGACUGAGAUACGGCCCAGACUCCUACGGGAGGCAGUAGUGGGGAAUAUUGCACAAUGGGCGGACGCCUGAUGCAGCAACGCCGCGUGCGGGAUGACGGCCUUCGGGUUGUAAACCGCUUUCGCCUGUGACGAAGCGUGAGUGACGGUAAUGGGUAAAGAAGCACCGGCUAACUACGUG